rnacentral:rRNA from 1 species
UACGGGAGGGGGCUAGCGUUUGUUUCGGAAUUACUGGGCGUAAAGCGCACGUAGGCGGCUUUGUAAGUUAGAGGUGAAAGCCCGGGGCUUCAACCCCGGAAUUGCCUUUAAGACUGCAUCGCUUGAAUUGUGGAGAGGUGAGUGGAUUCCGGAGUGUAGAGGUGAAAUUCGUAGAUGAUUCGGAAGGAACACCAGUGGCGAAGGCGACUCACUGGACACAUAUUGACGCUGAGGUGCGAAAGCGUGGG